AACGUACAAGUGAAAGUAAUGAUUAUGUGGGAAUCGAUCAAUCCUACAACCGAUGAACUAAUCAGCCUAGAUAUGAUUUUCAUGGAUGAAGAGGGCCAAACAAUUCAUGCUUUUAUCUAGAAGAACCUAAUAGACACUUUUAGAUCAAAAAUUAAAGAGCAGUCUAUUUACGCUUUCAACAAUUUGAAGGUUGUGGAAUCUAUGAAGUGUCGUCCAACGAGCAAUGAAAAUAAAAUAUUUUUUGCAUACAACACAAAGGUAAAGGAGGUUAAAGGAUCUGCAGAGGUUUUCCCAGAUUUUUACUUCAGUUUCACAACCAAGGAGACACUACAAGAACGGGCAGAAAAAGAUAUACAAUGCGCAGAUGUCGUUGGAUUGCUCACGCAGAUGAAGCCUGUGGAAAAAGACUUAUUUUUCGAUUCAAGCUCAAUGAUAGUAACAUCAGCUUUGGCACACAAAAUUAGUUAAUAGAACAUUUGUGCCUGAUGAUCGGCUCGAGAAACUCUACUUGAAUGAUAAAGACGAGGAGGAAUUGAUGGAUGAUGAAGUGGGCACCGUGUUAAAACAUGAAAUGAAGAAGCAGAACAUGCUUGACAAAAAGUCACAGAACAAUAAAGUUUCAGCUACAAAUUUAUCAUGUGAAUUGGUUCCUGUUAAAGUGGAACCAGUCAAUAGUAAUGGAACUUCAAUAAUGAAAGAUGGGCGUCAGGGAAAAAAUACCAUCAUCGUCAC